UUUAUCCACGGGUGGAUAAAUGUUGAUAUUGCUAAUUAUGUUUUUUUUUCCACGGUUUGUAAAUGUAGAAAAUCAGGAACGCGCUUCCCUCUAUGAAAUUAUGUUUUUACUCUGAUUCUCCCUUCUUCUUUUUUCAGUAGCGUUGUUCUCCCCCUCUCUCUCUGUAACGCCCUCAUCUCUCUCUUAGGAAAACCUAAGUACGUAGAUCGAUUUCUUUUGGUUUCGUCUGCUUGAACUGGAAAAUUUCAAUUUCAAGGCUUCGAUCAAUGAGGAGGCUCCUGAAAACAAUCCAGCACACACUACUAUCUAUGUCGGCAACCUUUCCCAUGAGGCGUGGACUAAUGGAAGGCUAAAGAGUGUUGUACAUAGAGCAGUAGUGGUAAACAAAGAGAAGCAAAGGCUCUUCAGAAAGCCAGGUGAUGUUAUAGCAGCUACAGAAAAUUAUAUUGAAGAACAUGGAACAAAGAGAAGCAAAUGCUCUUUAGAAAGGCAGGUGAUGUUCUAGCCACAACAGAAAAUUAUUUUGAAGAACAUGGAACAGAAGCAUUUGAAAUGCUUAUAGCCACUAGCAAGAUUUCGUGGAUUACCACAUGGACUGCCUAUUUUUGCAGAAGCAAAACCCAUCAACAACAAAGUGUUAAAGACUUGAAUGCCAAAAAUCAUUGCAGCAAUUGCCGUAGCUGGUACUGACCUAUAAGCUUAUUCAAUAUGACCUACAAUUAUGUCUCAAAAGUUUCUUCUCAGUGGCGGUGGUGGAAGAGUUGGUGGCGGUGGUAGUGGGGGCGGUAGCGGUU